UUUUUUUUUUUUUUUUUUUUUUACUUUUUGUAGCAAGUAUAGUGCAAGCAAUAUGAGUGACGGUGAGAGGAAAUUAAACACACAAAUUUGUGCCAAAAUGAAUGAUCUAUAAUAUAAAAAUUUCAGAAGAUGUGUACAUUGAUCUAUAUAUCAUAAAAUUCCGAUGCCGGCAUGCUGGCCGUCACGUUCCGUCAGUGUGCCAGGCACGUGUCUGCACGUAGCCGGCGCGUGACGACCAGCAAGCCUCAAUUUGGGUCGGGGUGUGUCAUGUAUGAACAUUUUUCUUUAUUUACCUCUAAAAGUUUACCAUAUGUUUCCGUCCUUGAUGUUUUGACGCUCAAUCGUUUAUGAAUGUGGAAUUUAACACAGUUACGCGAAGAAGGUUGUGAAGAGCAACUUUUGUAUAUGCUCCGACCAAAAAUUGUGGGCAAAAACGCCGAAAUACUAGUAGUCGUUGAUGACGGUUUGAGCGUAAAUAUAUAAAACAUGAUAAUAGUAUAAACUAUAGGAAAAGAAAUAAAGUAAAAAGUUUAUGAAAAUAGAGAUAACUUUUUUUUUUUUUGGGUAAAGGAGAUAGAGGUAACUUACUCCUAAAAUCAACAUGCAAAUAUUUUGCCGUUUCUAUUGACAAUGAAAUUGUAUAAUUAGAAGAUCCUCGUGAUCUUAUUUAGAACCUCCUUAAUCAGGACUUGUAAUGGUUUGAAUUCAAUAAAAUAUCGAGUUUUCGUAAAAAAAAAAAAACACUUGCUCCUAAAUCAACGUGCAAGUAUUUUGGCACUUACUUAAAUCAUCAUGACCGUUGGAGCGUGCCACUUCAGGGGACAAACAUGAAAUUUCACUAUCACAGAUCUGAUGAUCUGGAUCAUGACCGUUGGAGCGUGCCACUUCAGGGGACAAACAUGAAAUUUCACUAUCACAGAUCUGAUGAUCUGGAAUAAUCCUAGCCAUUACAAAAGCUCGCGAUCUCGUGAAUACCCGUCAUAAGGUAGGGGUACUUCCGGAAAUCUACUUUUAAAAUAUUCCAAAUUUGACCGUUAUAACACUCGAAACCCUCGCGACCGUUUCAAAGUCCCACUCACCACUCACCCCAGAAAUUCCCACUACCUUUCUCUGACACAAAAAUCCAUGGCCGACGAGAGCACAAACAAAUCGAUCAUGGAGCCGAAGUUCUCUCACCCACUUCACCAAAUCUCUCAGUCUCCGAGCCACAAGCUUCUCCUGAAGCAAUGGCUGAAAGAAGAAGAGCUAAUCCUCAACAGGGUCUCUCUCAAGGAGUCCCAAAUCGACUCGGUUCGAAAGGAGAUCACGAUGCUCUUCAUCUUCUUCUUCCUCUUCCACUCCACGGCUCUCACCCUUCUCUUCAGUUCAUCGUCUCGGGACCCGAACGGGUCCGCGUGCCGCAGGUCCUGGAUCCCAUCGCUCUGCUCUCUCUGCUUCUCGCUGGGGAUCAUUUGGGCGAUAAGGUAUAAAAGCGACACGGAGGGGCACCUGGAGAAGUUGUUGGAGAGAGAAAAGGAGGAUAAGAACCUUCUGGGAAAAUGCAUUGAGGAGCUGAAGAAGAAGGGGUUGGAGUUCGAUUUGUUGAAGGAGGUCGACGCGCUGAGGAGGGCCAAGAGUUUGAGAGUCGAAGCGAAGGCGGUGAGGAAGUGGAAUGCGAGGGAUUUUGUGACUCUGUUUUUCUUCACUGUGUCUUGCUUUGUGAUCAUUGUCACCAGAGUUAUUUUGUGUAACUAGGAAGGUCGAAAUCGGGUUGGAUUUCGGGGAUUAGAUUGGUUAAUUAUUGGGUUUUGGAUAAGUGGUGGGGGAAGAAAUUGGUUGCAGAAUGUUUUGUUCUGCUAUUUGUAAUUCGGGGAAUUUACGUUGGCAUAGUUAUGAAACAAAUCUGGAUGACUGCUCAUAUUAGCCUUAAAAUGUUUUUUUUUUUUUUUUUUGACUAUUAAAUUUGAUCUCAUUUGAUUAUAACCGUUAUAUUAUAAGUAAAAAACAGCAUUUGAUUAUAACCGUUAUAUUAUAAGUAAAAAACAAAAAAAAAAAGUUUGAAAUAUGAUUGUUUGAUGGGUCUAGAAUAAUUUAAGCCAAACUUAAAUCCUGGGAGAAUCUAGCCCAGAGAUAUAUUUUCUUCCCAUGACCCAUGGUUGGAGAUAGUUUGAGGGGGUUUUAAAGCUUAUAUUUUAAGCUUUAUCCCGUCGGUUGGAGAUAGUGUAAGAAGAAGAAAAAUUGAGAUAGCACAUGCAUGGGGAGUAAGAAAGAAACUAAAAUAUUAAACAGUGAGCCAACAAUGGCCACGAGGUUCUCAAGGUAGGGUUAAAAAUAGGCCACUGCAAUGGAGCUGGCUAGUAAUUCCACCCUUGCAAGCAGUCUAGAAUGUCUCUAUUUCGCCGAUUUCUGUAAUUCUCUGUUCGAUAACUUUAACUACCGGAAUAAGAAGAAUGGUGGAGAUUGCAACUUCUGCACUAACUUGUUUGGUAAGGAGUUAAACAAAGGAAUUAAACACUAGUGUGUGAGUAAUUCAUUGAUUUCGAAACUGAAAUCCUUGCACUUAAUCUUACAAAUUUGAAAUUUCAUAUAUAGAAAAUCAAUUUGUUUUACCAAUCUACAAAUACGAAAAUCACAUAUGGAAAUAAGCUAUAUAUAUAUAUUGCGACGUUUAGUCACGAAACCACCCCUGCGGUUGCAUUUCACUCUUUAAUUUUCCACAUACGCGUGAUCCACUGGUAGUACUUGGGUUCAAGCUUCUGUUCUUUCCAAACUUUGGCGAAGUCUGAAAAUUAGUUGACCUGCGAAAUCUGAAGAAAGAUCGGAGAACAACACGUCUUUCUCUUCUUUCAGCCAAGUAGAGAACUCAUUGUUCUUGGCACUCAAGUUUCUGCUAGCAAAAAUACGACUUCUCAAGUCCUAACCAUCAGAAAAGCCGAGGAUCCCUUAUGCCAACUGCCAAACUUCUACUUUCCAAAGCACAGCUUCUAGACUGAAACGAAGGUGCAUCCACGUUUUACGAGUUCACACAUCAGUUGCUAGAUACAGGGAACGGUUAGUUGCCAAUGGAUUUCUCAAGAAGCUGGAUUAGACUACUAUGAGACCUUUAGUCUUGUGGUUAAACCAACCACAGUGAGAUUGGUUUUAGCAUUGGCUGCUCACAUAGCUGGAAACUAAGCAAUUAAAUGUAAAAAAAUGCAUUCUUCCAUGAGUUGAAGAGAAAGUUUAUAUGGCUCAGCCCCAAGGGUUCGGUCAUAGUUCUCACCCAAAUUAUGUUUGUAAGUUGGAGAGUUCUUUAUCUGGUUUAAAAGUUAAAACAGGCUCCUAGAGCCUGAAACGACAAGGUCACCAAGUUUAUGCUUCAAUUAGGAUUUAAGUCCUCUUAUGAAGAACUUUCUUUGUUUGUCAAGUAUGAUGGUAAGUCUAUUAUUGUCUUACUAUUAUAUGUUGAUGAUAUUAUUCUCACUGAUGAUAGUGGUGGUGCAAUUCAAGAUUUCUCAAUUGGCAAGGGAAAUUUGAUUUGAAAGACUUGGGUAUUUUGCAAUUUUCCUUGGACUUCAAAUUAUUAUCAGUCACAAGGGCUAUGAAGUAUGUCAAGGAUUUACUGAACAAAGCCAACAUGUUGGAUUGUAAACCUUGUCUUACUUCUUAUCAUCCUAAUCGGAAAUUGUUGAAUCUGAAGUGCUCCGUUUUCAGAUACUGCAUUUUACAAAAGUAUUGUUGGUGCUCUAUAAUAUUUGAUAUUUACUAGACCAGACAUUGCUUUCAUAGUAAACCAAGUGUGUCAGCUCAUGCAUUCACCUCUUGAAUCUCUUUUUGCUACAGUCAAAAGGUUUUUGAGGUAUCUUAGGUGCAACAUACUGAUUUUGUAGUAUUUAUUGGCUCCAAUCCUAUUUCUUGGAGUUCUAAGAAGCAACACAUUGUUAGUAGAUCCUCCACAGAAGCAUAAUACACAACUAUGGCUACUGUCAUUGCAGAAGUUGUUUGGAUACAUCAGCUACUCAAGGACUUACAUUUCUAGCAUUGGCUACUAAUCCCCACUAAUCCUGUAUUGCAUUCCAAGGCCAAACAUAGAGACUGACUAUCAUUUUGUGCGUGAAAGAGUUCAACAAGGAACUAUUAUGUUGCAUUAUGCGGCUUUUGCAGACCAGUAUGUAGAUAUAUUCACAAAAGGAUUGUGUUCUCCCUAAUUUAUUUUUCAUUGUUCUAAUCUCAUGUUUGGUUGUUCAAAGCAUGAGCUUGAUGAGGAUGAUGGUGUUAAAUAUGCCAUGUGUCAUUAUCACCAUUGGAUUUGUCUUAACUUAGUUAAUCUACUGUGUAUGUUGUAUCUAUAAAUAAUAUGAGUUCCGUAAUUAUUACACAAUUAUUAACUGAGAUUUCAAAUUACAUCUGCCAGUUUCUCUCUCUUCGAUUCUUUUGUCUCUAUCUCUCUCUUUAGAUUUUCUCUAGAUUGUUCGUAAUUGUUCUAAAUUGUUGACAAUAAAUAAUUAAUUAUUUUUCAGUAUCUAUAUGUGUAUGUAUUUCAUUUAUACAAAUAAAAUAACCUUCAAUUUUUUUUUGAACUUUCUACAAAUUUUCUUAUUCAAAUCUUGAAAUAUGUCAAGAAAAUCCAAGGUAUGUAGGGAAGUAGUGUGGCCCAUACGUGUUUUAUCAUAUUGAUAAGGGAGCCAACAUGAAAGCCAGUCAACUACCAAUGUGCUACCAUGGAUAUAUAAGCCAUGGGGGCCAAUCUGGUAAGAUUAUUGCAGCCAUGUACGGAUUGACUGGGAGACUAGACUAUUGUUUCGGAUCGUUUUCAAAUUUCAACUGAAGGCUAAGUGUACCAACCAAUUUUCAAAGUUCAACUCAGACUUUGGUUUUCUUGGAAAUAGAAUAAAGAAGCAGAACAUAAUUAGAAAAGGAAACUUACUCCAUCAAUGGCUUGGAUCGAGGCAGUCAAUUUUCGACCAAGUAUUUUAUCUAAUUGUAAUAUCCUAUUAUUGGUAAAUUACAUUUUGACCUCUCCCAUUUUUGUUCAAUUUUAAAUUCAAAUAAAGGAUUUUUAAAUUUUUUCAAUUCAUGCAACGGCUCACGAUUUAAUACUAGUGUCAUACAAUCGUUAGAGAUUCUAUUAAGUUAACCGUUAAAUGAUGAUACGACAAAUAACUGACUCAUAUAUUUGCUAACGUGACAAUCAAUUGUACGACAUUAUUACACUAUUUUAUUUACAAGAACAAUCUUUAGGAAUUAUGGUGGGGGGGAAAAAUAGUGUUGUUUAAUUUUUAAGUUUUUAUGGGGGUGAGAUUUAUAAGGUGGCUGGGGUGAUAGGGUUGGUCAUUGGUGGGUGGGACUAGAAGCUGUCACAUCCUAGCCCGGAUCCCAUCACAUCCCUAGCUCGACUCCGCCGUAGUAUGAUAUUGUCGCUUUGAGCCCCGACCACGCCCUCACGGUUUUGUUUUUGGGAACUCACACGAGAAAUUCUUAGUGGGUCACCUAUCAUGGGAUUGCUCUCGCGCGAAUUCGCUUAAUUUCGGAGUUCUGAUGGAAUCCGAAGUCAGUGAGCUCCCAAAAAGCCUCGUGCUAGGUAAAGUUGGGAAUAUACAUAUAAGGCUUAUAUGAUCCUCAACCCUGAACGAUGUGGGAUCUUACAAAAGUUCCCUUUAUUGAUUAAAGAACAUUAAACAAACAAUAAAUUAAGGAGCACUAAAUUGUGUGUUAUAGCAUGUUUAGUCCCCCUUUAGCAAAAAAUAUUAAUCUACUAUUGAAAUUUGUAAAAUAUCACAAGUAAAUUAAGAAGGUCAGUCAAGGUUUGUAAUUGAUCAUUUUGAGUUUAGGAAUGUCAUUGGAGGGAGCUUAAAGCUAAGGUGGCCAAAAUUUGUGAACUAAACUCUACGCCUUAAGCAAUUAACGUAGUGAAUUAUUUUUUUGUAAUGAAUAAAUAUUACCUAUGCAUGCUUUGGGAAUGUUAAAAGACAUUGUAAUGGUUAGGUUGGGAAAAAUGAAGAUUUUUAAUGAGAAAAUCAGUACAAUGUGAUCAAAUAGUCAAUGUGCGAAAAUGUAAAAGAGGUUUAGAAGUGCAAUGAUCAAACACUGUCGAAGGCAAAUUGGAGGAGAAACCGAAGGCCGCAAGUGCGUAGUUAAGGGUAUUGGUGAUGACAUAAAUGUCUUCUCUCUGCAUUUUAUGUCGUUCGGUGUUGGUCGUUGGGUGGUGAGUUCAAAUUCAAUACCGACUCACUGACAUGUACGGCGCUUUGGAAACUACUUCACUUCAUUUCAUUAUAUAUAGAGACUAGACUGCCAAAUUCUGCACCCUUUUCAACGGCCCGUGUAGGACUGUCUCUGCCCUUCCUUCUACAAGACUCAAGCUGCCAGCCGGACCCGGACGUACAUUGCUCUUCGAUGGUCUCCCAAUAAUUUAAACAAAAACUAGCCUACAAUUGUUGAAUUUGUUUUCCCUGUUUUCUUGCUUACUCCAAAUCAAGAGUGAUAUUGUUUGUAUAUGCAAAACUAAUUUACCACACGUAGUCUUAGACUCAAAUCCCAAACAAAAUCACACACAAUGUUAACUCGAUAGUAUGUGAUUUUGUUUAGAAUUUAUAUCUAAAAUCCGUGUCUGACUUUGUUUCAGGUUUACGUCAAAAGUUAUAUAUUGACAAUGUGUGUGGUUUUAUUUAGGGUUUAGGUGUAGAAUUGUACAAUGAACCAAACAAAGUCCCACCAUUUCGGAUUAGCUUGAUUCAAGGCUCAAAUUAGUAGCAUGACCAAACGAAACUAAUCUAGAUAGUAGCAUGACCAAACGAAACUAAUCUAGAUAGCGACCUAUUUAUUCUACUUGUUGGAAAUUUUGAGUAGAAAUUCAUUGUUCCACAUUGAUCACUACCAAAAGAUUCCAUCACUUUAUAAGGCUUUGUCCCUUAAAGAAAUUAAUUGGAGUGAUGGAUCAUGGAGAAUAAAAUUGGGCUUAACCUGGGGGUUGGACUUUGGGGUGUAUCAAAAGAUGGGCCUUGGGGCUUUCGGGCUCUAAUAAUUAAAUUCUUUAAUUAAUUAUUUUUGGAUUUAAUUAAUUAAUUAUUUUUUAUGUCAACCGUCAUCUUUUCAGAUGAAGUCUAAAGUGAUGAAAGAACGCUAGCGAGCAAAGCACCCAUCUGAGAAGAUGUCUCCCAACAAACGCAUCUUAUACUCAUACCUAUUGCGAACAAGCAUAAACUUAUUUUAUAUAUAUAUAUAUAUAUAUAUAUCCAUCUGCAUGGUAUUUAAAACACAAAAAUAAAAUUCUUCUUCUACAAUUCCAAACAUUCUUACUAAGAGAAUCACAAAAAAUAUUUGCCAGAAGUCAAGUUUUCUGGUGCUGGAAUUCUAACUUAGAUCGUUGAAUCCUGGUGAAGCAGACGUUCGUAGAACUACAAGCAUUGGGUAGGGACAAAAUUUCUGUUUCAAGGACAUUGUGGUACGCAAGCCUCGAUCUUCAAUUUGUCUGUUUAAUAUUAUUAAUUCGCAUUUAUAAUUUAUUAGCAUAUAUAUUUAUCAUUGAUUGUUGAUAUUUAUCCAACAAUCCUAUUGUAUGUUAUGUCUUUGAUAAGUACUUUUUAGAUGGGAAUGGAGAAAAAAGCCUUUGUGCCUUCAAAUAAGGGGCAUAUAUAGCAUGUAUUUCUUGAAGCUAGGUUCCAGAUAGCCAACCACAAUAAGACAAUUGCAUGGCUACAAGAAAAAAAAAAGACAUUGAAUAUCGUGACUUCGAUCAAUUCACCGUUUACCCGAUCGUAUCUAAACCAUCUUAGUUUAGUUCGUUUGAUGGUAAAGAUCUGAAAUAUAUUAGUAAAUAUUAGUGUAGGUCUGAUUUGUUUGUCAUCAUCCGGACUUUCUAGUAGCCAUUAGUAGAAAUUAAUCUGUCUUGAUCUGUUUGUAGUUGGUCCCUAUUAAUUUGUAUUUUACAAUAAACUCAUUGAAGUACUAAUCAAAAUUCAAGAAUCUGUUGCCUUGGUAUGUAUUUUCUUCUGGUACUUUAGAUUCCACGUAGCUCAUUGAACUUUUCAACCCUAUGCGGAUUUUGUUUUUCAUUUGUAUCAAUAUCGAUCUUAACUAUUGGAACAAAAUGGUAUUGUUGAUCAAUUAGCGGAUUGGAGUUUUAAUAUGGAUCUCGUUCGCUUUGUUUUCUAUGGCACUCGUCACUUGUGCAUGCUUGAAUCGAGUUAACUCUUAUGGAUCAUUAUUUUGGUGUUUGUAAAGUGUGGUAUAUUUAUACCCCCAAUUUUACCAAACAACAAAAAUAUCCUAACUUGUUGGUUUCUCUUGACACUAUUAUAUAAAAUUCACUCUUUUGCACAAACAUAAAAUCUGAUAUGGACAGAAAAAAUUUUGAUUCUCAAAAAAUAAAGCGGGGAGUUCUACGAAGAUUUAUAAAUUUGUAUUAUGCAUUCCAUCUCAUUGACAAACAACAACAAGAAGAGACUUAAAACUCUGAAAAGCUAGCAUAUAUUAUACAUAUGGGUGAAAAUGGGGGUGGCUUGGCUCCUUGAUCAAAUGCAAUAUGUAUCUUGCAAGAAAUAAUCUCUUUGUAGCUUUCAAGUACAGCCCAAACCAAACGUCAUUGUUUAGACAACCAUAUAGUUGAACUAAUACUAGUGCUUUUUGAAUGUUGGGUACUUCUCUAAUUAAAGAAUGAUUAAUAUUCCUCCUCAUGGACCAUACUUAUAUGGCAUUUCAAAGUUCAUACCCAUGGAUUUGGAGUUUUCCUCAAUCUAGCCCUGUGAAUUCUGCUAGAAUCCAAUGCUAUGAACAAAGUUAGAAGCGUGGCUACAAUAUUAUGUGGCUUUAAUUAACUGCACUGGAAUAUUAAUAGGAUAGAUGAACGGUGAUGACAAAUGAUUUAUUUCUUUAAAUCUCACCCAUUCAUAUUUACGUUGAAAUAACGUAGUACCUUAGAUUUUCCACAAAUUAGCAAAGUUAAGACAGACCUUAAAUACAUAGAGAAUCAAGGACGGUGAGUCAGCCCUGGUAUUCCUGAAUCCUGGUACAGAAAAGCUUAUGGAGCUCCAUUCCUGCAGCCUCCUCACAAUCAAUGAGAAUUUCCGCUGUUCCUUUCUUGUUCAUUAAAUAUGUUUGGAAGGUUCGUCAUCAGAGUCGUGGAAUUUUAAAAUAAUAACAACUAGGUUGCAUGCAUGAUUGGUAAUAAUUAGAACACGCUAUAUCCACGCGGUGUGGAAACGGUGAUAGCUAGGGUUUUUUGUGAUGAGCUGCCUGCGAAUGAUUACGGAUGACUUUUGUACAAGCUGGUCUCUCAGUUCACACACAGUUCAACGAUUAACGAAUUAAAAAAACUAUAUAUUACUGGAUUUUGAAAAUUAAAAGGAAUAUUUAUUAUUCUGCGGUGCACCGUGAUGGCAUCAACAUGGCUUCCGGGGGUUCUCAUUUAAAGAAGCAUAAUGUUACAGUUGGUUAGUUAAUUUUAUAAAGAACAUGGGGUAGUUAACAAGUUAAAGGACUCUGUGGUUACAAAAUUAGUCUACAUUACCAAAUGUAGGUAGUUGAUUGGAUGACAAUGAAGAUCCAAAUUGAGUUCACAUUCGGCCACCUUAUAUUCUCAAAUACUUUGCCCUUCAUCUCCAAACAUGAAUCCCCUAGCUAGCAUUGAAUACCAACAAAUUGAUGAUCCAAUCAUUCGGAAGUAUAGAUUAAAAAACCGAUGGAAUUAACAUGUUCUUAUGUACAUGAUAUGAUUAGAGUGUCGGAGUUUAACUAAACUUCACCACUCUAAUCAUGCAAUAUAACUGUGAAUAAUUCUCAACAUGGAAAAGAAAAAAAAGUUAUGUGGGAUGGCCAUACCUACUAACUGGCACAUGUAUUUGUGCUAGUUCAAAUCAAGUCAAUUUAUAUAGUAGCGCUUACAAAUUAUUAAGUUAAUACGAAACUAACUACUUGUUUAGGCAUUUCCAUAAUUUAACCUCAUAAUCCAAAUCGUUCAUUUUUAGGCCAUUCAUCCUUGCUAAUAUUAGUACUUGAAAUUUCUUGGCAAAACUUUCAUCUACUAAAUCUUAUUUCUCACAUGGCGAACAUUAUGAUUUUUUGUAGGUCAAUUAAUUUAGUUUAUUCAUUGCGAUUAUAAUUGAACUAAAUCUCUGUCCUUAAAUCUAUGCAGAAUGUAUAUAUGCACCACGGCAUUGAUUUUUCCAAUGUCUGUUUACGUAUGUAUUGAAUAAUGUUAUUAUGAUAAGUCAAUUGGCUUAUACAAUAUGCCAAAAUAAUUCUCGUGCUUCUUCAAUUAUGCUAAAUUAUUUGGUUAAAAGAGGAGUUUGGAUUGAUCACGAACUUAGGCAUAUAUUGAUUAUAUUAAUAUCUGCAGGUGUAUAAAGUGCAUGCAGACGGUACUCACUCGUUUUCUUUUUGGUCAGCAAGCAUGGCUUUCCAACUAGACAACAAGUAAGCUUUGUGAAAAUCUCCAUGGCACUCCCUAGCUAGUUAGUUCAUUACUUUAUACUUGGAUUGGGUUGUGUAAACCCUAAAUUUGAAAUAUAACUAGUUGCACAUCGUUAUCCAUGAGUGGGGCACGAGUUAUAUAUAUGCGGGACCUAGCUAGGGCAACAAAAAGGUACUUAUUAGGAACUAAUGCAACAUUAGGCAAUUUAAUCAUAUUUUCAACAAAAAAAGGCAUUCUUAAUUAAUUGUAAACUCUUGUUGGUUACGUUAUAAAAAAGAAUAGUAUUGCCUUUUCCAUAAUUUUGUUCACACGUGCAUCACGCAAAUGAAAUGUAGUAGUGAACCAGUAAUUGGUGUGUGUGCAACACGCAAAUGAAAUUAAAGAAGUUUUUGACAUACUUUUUACAUUCGGCAAGGUCAUCACUAACUUCAUUGAUAUUUUUUCAAUUAAAAGAGUCAUUUAUUAUUUUGUGUAAAGUUUUACCACAAAAUAUCGUGCUAAUAUUAGUUGUGAACCUCUAAAAUAUAAACCAAAUACUAUUUUGUUAUAUUUACAAUGUGAUACUCUAUUCUCCUUCUCUUUUAGUGUUGAAUAUUAGACUUUUACAAACAUAAACAAGUACGUAACACAUGUAUUUAGUGCUCAAACUUUGCAAUCUGAUCAUAAAAUAUAGCCGGUUAAAACCCUAUUGGACUCUAAACUUAUCACAUAAAGGUUUAAGUUUAGUGGAAAUUGAAAUCAGUUAAAGUUAAUAUUUGAACAAAUCUUUUUUCCUUUAAAGUAGGACAAUAAGGUCGAACACUAACAGUGGAUAUCCCACGUUGGCAUGUAGUGGACGUGCAGUUUUUGCCAAACUGUUUAUAUGAUAUGAAGAAAUGGUUGUGGUUUCACAUCUAUGAAAUAGUUUAGUCCUUGCUCAAGAGGUACACGUUCUUUUUCUGUAACUAGCCAUAUUGUAGUGAGAACAUAAGAUCCCCAUUGAGUAGAAGACUUCUCCUCGAUCAUUCACUUCAUCAGGUUUGUUUUAAUUCAUACUAUGUACUUCACUUGUUUCAUGUGUUGUAGGUAGCUAACCUUUAGAGUUCCAACAGUUAAAGCUAAAACAUAUAAAUCAAGUUCUUUUGUAACUCUAUAAAAUUAAGUCGACAGGUUUGUUUUGUUUUGUCUGUUUAUUUUUUGGUUUAAGCACUCAAAUAUAAACGAUAAGGUUAAAAGUAUGAUAUGGUCAUCGAGAAGUAACACGGAGAUGUGCGGUAUACUUGGCUUAACCAUCCCCCAUCUUCGUUGGUGCAUAUUUUAAAUAAGGAUGGCCUCCCAUGUCCUCCGUAAUUGUAGUUUGGUGGUGAAGGGGGUGACGCUUGGCACUUGGUGCUGCGUCUUUAGCCUUUGCUCCCCUCUUCACUGCUUUUUGUUUGUUUCCUCUAGUUGUUGCCUCCUGGUAGGCUUCCCUGUGUUUUUGGCUCCGGCCCUAGUUAUGAAUUCAUUUAGUUUUUCAAAAAAAAAAAAAAACACAUUUGAGUCCCCACAAUAUAAAGUGAUGCACGUGGCAAUCUCACAGUUUUUUUUUUUUUAAUUCGAAUGAAACAUAAUUCCCUAAUCAAUUAACAAGAUUAUUGUAAUAGUACUUUCGAGUAAUUCUCAAAAGGGGUAUGUUAUCCACACACCUAUUUUUACUUCUCACACACCCUUGUUAAUUUUUAUCCGUUGAUCUUCUUCAAUUUAUCCGAUCCGACGACCGAAAACCAAAAAUGUGUGGGAGAAAUAAAAAAGGGUGUGUGGAUAUCACAUCCCUUCUCAAAAUUUCAAAUGUUAAUUUUUUUUUAAUAAAAAGGGAUCGGUUGGUAACUUCGUGAUAAAUGUGAACAAUACUAUGAGUGUUUCAUUAAGAUUUUUUUUUUGUUUUUGGGGUUCUUUUAGGUAAAAUUACACCUAAGGUGUACUUUUAAACUUUAAUAUUGAAUUGAGUCAAUGGUUUUUAAUUAUUUCAAGAGAGACAAAUUUUAAUGUACUUGUGUUAAGUGACCAAAUAGCCCCUCUUCUGUUUGAAAGCUACUGACGGCAAGAAGUUAAUCUUUCAUUCCAUUUUUUUCCGUCUCCGUUCAAUUUCAUUCCGAUUUCUUUUCUUUUUAUUUUUUUAAUUUGCUUCAACAAUUUGGGUUCAUAUUUGGUUUCGCUCCGUCUCCGGUUCUCACCAAUCCCACAGAUCCCAAAAAUUCGAAGCCCAAAUCUCCAAAAUCUUCAGCCCCCGAAGCUGCGGAUUGCUGAGACAGUGUUGUUUGCAGUUCCCAAAUUGGGCAGACGCAAGGCUGACGAUGCAGGCUGCGGUGCGAAGAACAGUGUGGCAUCGAGCUUGAGGUGCGGUUCAUAGGGCCUUGUAUUGUUAAAGUUGCAGUGGACUGGAGCUUGGUCCUUCGCGAGUUGCAGAAGGAGUACAGGUUCUGGGUUUUUGCAAGAUACUUUUGAGUUAUUGGUGAAGGGACUGGUAAUGCUGCCAUGCAAUGUUCUCAAACCCAUGGGAAUUAAUCUUAAAGAUAAACGAGUUGAAGUGGAGAAGAUAAUUGGAAGGGGUAGUGGAUUUGUUGUUGUUCAAAUUCAAUUCAUUCCUUGCGUAAAACGAGUUUUAGAGCUGUAAUUGCUACACAUCUAUUUCCGUGCAGCACUUCUUUUCUAAUUUUAGUCAUAUAACAAAGUCUACAAUAGGGAUGGGCAAUGGUUAUGCGGACGGGUAACCGCGAUUAUUUUACCCAUAACUGUUUAUGUUCAUACCCGUAUAACCGUUUACCCGUGGGGUAAUUACAUAAAUGGUUAUACUUAUAACCAUAACCGUUUAUAAACGGUUAUCCAUACCCAUAACCGUGUACCCAUUUACCCAUAACCAUUACCCAUUUAACCAUAACCAUAAUCAUUUACCCGUUUACCCAUUUUUCGCCCGUUUAUCCUUUUUUUACCCAUUUACCAUUUUUUUUCUCCCGUCUACAUUAUUUUUUUAACGAUAGUUAAUCAAAAAAUGAAAAGCGGAACACUAUUCUCUAUUCAAAUCAAGAAGCUUUCUAUCAAUAACAACACUUUGACAAUGUGGAUACAAUUACAAAUCACAACACUUAUACACAUUUGAAGUUGAUUCAUUGCCUGAUAGAACAAGCAUUACAAGUUGAAAUUCACUUGGCGAAAGCGCUAUUGGCAGAAGCGCUUAUGACACAAGCAGUCCCGAAUUAGCAAUCUCUCCCGAGAGUAUAUUCCGUGCUCGCUCAUCAUGUUGUUCAAUCGUUUUAUGUCCAUCACCUGAAAGAAAUUGAAUUAAGACCAUGUUUGGCCGGAAACUUAAAAUUGCUUAUCUGUAUAGAAGUACUUAUGUGCUUCAAAGCACUUCCAACUGCUUUUCCAAGAAGCAUUUGGAAGUGUUCGCUGCUGAGGUGGCUGAUAAGGAUAACGAGGCGAAAUGCCGGGCGAACGGCGACGUUGCUCAGAGGAGGCGGGGGAGGAGCCGGCACUCAUUGGCUUCGGCCGACUUCAGCUACGAGCCGUCGAGCUACGCCAGGAAUUUCGAGGACGACGUGAACCGAGCUGACGAGAUUAUCUCUCUCAGAAGGUUCAGGGGGUUGCUGGCGCAGCCGAAGCAAAGCUUAACGACGGCGCCUCCGCCUACCAAGUGUUCGCCGUUGCGUCCGGAGAUUGCUGCGUUUAGCUAAAGAUUAAUUAUGUUUUGAUAAUGCAAUUACAAGUGUGUCGUCAUCUGCUAAGGUUCUGCAACUGAUAUGGCGGAUGAGAUUUUUCGAUUGAAUUCGAGGCUCUGUAGAGAGAGAGAUCGGGAGAGCGACGGAGAAAGAGAGUGACGAAGUCGAAAGGCGGAGAAAGAGAGUGACGAAGUCGAAACUCUGAGGGUUUUUAAUUUUUUUUUUACAUAUAUUAAAUUAAAUGGGUAAAUGGAUACCCGUUAUAACCAUGAAUAUUAACCAUAACCGAUGGAUAUCCGUUAUAACCGCGGAUAAUACCCAUAACCGUCCAUUUAAAUUUCAUGGAUAAACGGUCAUACCUAUAACCGUUUAUUUGUUUAAACGGUUACCCAUAACCAUAACCAUCAACUUUAAAUGGACGGGUAACCGCGGUUACCCAUACCCAUGGGUAUUUUGCCCAUCCCUAGUCUACAAAGAUGUGAUUUAAAUCUUUACUAGUUAUUAUGUGGUUGAUUUUCAUUUGAUAGUUAUUAGUCUUUAUUUCAACUUGAAUUUUAAUAUGGUGAUCAUGAAUUUCUUUUUCAAUUGGGUUGUAUUGAUGACAUAAUGUAAUUAGUUUGCAAAUGAUUUGAAACCAAACUGCAACCAAAUGGUUUGGUUCCAUAUUGUUUCAAGCUUCAAACCGCAUCAAACCGAAUCGUAAAAAAAUUCGGUUUCGGUUUUAGUUUCACCCCAAACACACCGAACCAAUCCAUGCCCACCCCUAUACUCGAGGAUGGGUUGAAUUGAUUCUGCUAAAAUGGUAAGAUGAGUUGAAAUGAUUCUGCUAAAAUGGUCAAUGACUAAUUGAACUGAUUAUGCAAAAAUGGUCGAGAACGGGUUAAACUAAUUCUCUAAAAAUGGUUGAUGGCUAAUUGAACUGAUUCUACAAAAGUUGUUGAAGACGGGUUGAAAACUUUUUCUGCAAAAAUAAUCAAGAACGGGUUUAACUGAUUCUGAAAAUAUUGUUGAAGGUGAGUUGAACUGAUUCUGCAAAAAAUAUCGAUAACUGAUUAAAUUGAUUCGGCAAAAGUGGGUAAGGAUUGAUUGAACUGAUUAUGCAAAAAUAGUCGAAGACGGGUUGAACUGAUUAUGCAAAAAUGGUCGAAGACGGGUUGAACUAAUUCUGCAAAAAUUGUUGAGGACAGGUUGAACUGAUUAUAGUAAUAAAGGAUACAAAUUGAUUCUACAUAUAGUUUCAAAACUAAUUCUGCAGAAAUAGUCGAGGAUGGGUUAAGCUUAGUUUCAUAACACAUAGUAAUUUGGGUUAAUCUUAGUUUACAACCCUGAAGUUUCUUAGUUUUUAACAUUUGGUACAUGAAGUUUUUUUAGUCCCAAUCUGGUACCUAAAGUUAUAAUUCUGGAACAUUUUCAUACAUCCGUUAAGUUUUCCAUUAGAACUUUUGUUAACUGAUGAUGUGGCACCCACGUGGACAAUAACUGGGCGCCAUGUGUCAAUAUGGGCCUACUUGAAUAUUAAAAUUUUUUAAAAAGAAAUUAAAAAUACAAAAAAAAAAAAAAAAACCCCAUCUGUCUCCUACCUCAUCCCCCCACCCUCUCCAUCCUUUCUCUCUUCUGCAACCCGCACCCCUUCCCUCCCUUCUCUCUUCUGCAACCUGCACCACCCUCCCUUCUCUCAGCUGUUAAUAGAACCCUUCCCUCCCUAAGGCUUUAGGGAUGGAAGGGUUAUAUUAGUUGCCCUAAAGCCCUAGGGGUAUUGCUAGUAUUUUAAAACAUUGUUUCCAUGUUUUUGGGUUGAGCUUUUGUUAUUUUUAUGUUUUUGUCUCUCAUUGACAUGUUUAAAAGCUAUUGGAGUUUCUUGAAAUAUAGUUAAAAAUUUUGUCUCUAUAUAUAAAGCUCCAUUUGUUUUACCUUUUUUACUAGCAUUUCAACUAGAAAAUAGAAAGUAAAUAUGAAAAAACAUUAAAGGGAAAAUAACCAAGGUAGUCUCAGGAUUAUCAUUCGGGAAUUUGACAAGUCAAACUACACACACAAAUUUUAUUGUGGUUAGAGGUGGAUGGACUAUGAGACUAAGGUAGUCUCAGGAUCAUUCGGGGUUCGAAAAAUAUACACGUGAAGGUCUUUCGAGGUAUUUGAUGUAAUGGCUGCUAGCUAUAUCUCGACCAGUUGCGUCGACAACACUAUCACUUAUCAGAUUGCUUCGACAUAUGUUGAUAUCUGUUGACAUGUGUGAUGACGUGUGCGAUACAUGAUUUGAUUGACGAUAACAAGUUCACCAAGUGUUCGACGAAAUAACUUAAUGAAUAGCAUGAUUUUUUUUUGCGUGCUUCGCACUGUUUCUAUCUAAAAACAUGUUUUUAACACCGAAGACCCCACAAGAUUCGAAUCCUGAAUUUGUCACUGAUUGAGGUGUUGGUUUUUAGAGCCAAGUGUUAUGAAGAACACUUUUCAUUAUUUCAAUAGGUAAGUCUAAAUGAAGUAAUUGCUUGUGUUAUGGAUGAGUAACAAGUCCUGAAAUUAAUAUGUAGUUUGGAAGCAAAUAAGAAAUAUUGCUCUUUAUUGUAUGGCCCUCAUGGAAACUUCUAAUGAGAAAUCAACUUAAUUAAUAUUAGAAUUCAUUUCAUUUGAAUGGAAUAAUUUUAUUACCAAGUUUAUUUGACCCAAUUAAAUUUCAUGAUAUGUCUGUAUGUAUAUAUAUUUAUAUUUUGUAUUACAAAGUUCAUACAUGGAUUGGUGACUUGUAGAUGUUGCAUCAUGACAUGUACUAGUACUAUCUUAGAACGCAAUUUUCCACUUUCUCGAUUUUAUUUUUAUUAUAUUCAUGUAAAGUGGAGGAAGCAACUGAUUAUUAAUAAGGAAUUUUAACGAAAACCUUUCAGUAUUGUUCACUUUAACGAAAAAUCACAUUUUUACACUAAAAAGUCAAUCCUAGUACUAUUCACUUGACCCUUUAUUUUGUCCUUAUCGUUAAAGCUCAAAUUUUUAAAGUUAUUUCAUUAGUUUUCUUUAAGAAGAUUUUAACAAAAAACUCUCGAUACUGUUCACCUUAACGAAAAAUGUCAACUUUUUAAUAUAGACUUUUCAAAUCCUCCUAUAGACCUCAUUGUUCAGUCGUAUUUAUACAGAAGUCAGACACGCGAAACAUGUGUAGCCAGUUACUUUACAUGUGAGCAAACGUUGACUGCAAUACUACGAAUGAACUUGGAAUUUUAUCUAAAACCAAUUGAUAAUAAAAAGUAAUCCAAGUGAUGGCGAGAGUUUAUGCGUUAAUGAUGUAGAAUUAGGCUUAUAUCAAAGGAUUGACUAUUGACUUUGAGUCCCUUCAAUUGUAAGUGGGAAAAAAAAUGAUAUUGAAGAACAUAAUCCACGCAUAUUGAUUAGAAAAUCUUGUCUUUUUCAUAGAAUUUCGAUUUCCAUGGUGACAAAAUCGAUCAUAUAAAAAAAAGAUAAAAAAAAAAGAGAGAAAGAAAUGAUGACAUAAUGGUAACUACAAGCGGUGGCAAAUCCAGUAUGGGUUUUUAUAUUAACACCCUACAAAAUGUUGAAUGCACCUCACAUUAAAAUUUAAUAUUAAAUAACUUAUUUAUACCACAUGCAAUGACAAUUUUGACCUUAUUAGGUUUUAAAAAAAAUAAAGAUUUAUAAAUACACCCUAAAUCACUUUUAGCGUAUUAUUUAUCUUCUCAACUAUCCAACAUGUUGUUAAGAAAAAUUGUUUUUGACGAAUGGAACACGAAAUCGAUGUUCAGGAGCUUCACAUGAGGUAAGACUUCAUAGUUUUCAUUGUUUUAGUGAUUUCGAUGACAUCGAUAAUUAUUUAAUCUUGCGUUUGUUGCAUUAUUUAAACUUCUAUAUUCAUAUUCAUCUUUUAAUGUUCAUAUGGUUAGAUUCAAUCCCUGAAAAUUAAAAAUGAGUGUUAUAAGAUUUGAGAAAUGUGGGGUGUAUGUACAAAAUAUAAGAUGUAUAUUGAGAAUGUGGGGUGUGGGAGUAUUAUGGGAAAAUAAGUGGGGUGUAUUAAGAUAAGACUUUAAGUGAAAAAGAAAAGGUGGGGUGUAUUAAGUUUGUGGGGUUUAUUCAACAAUUUGUGAAGUGUUAAUAUAAUUAGCCAUGCAGUAUUUGAAUUUAGGUGGUCUGUUAAAAUUCAAGUUUUUUAUUUAUUAUAUAUAUAUAUAUAUCUACUAAUUAAUAAAACUUUCUUUGUCAAUCAAAAGAUGAUGAAACGAUAAAUUAGUCUUCUAUCACAUAAAAAAAAUGAUGGGCAAUAAUAUAAUUUCACAAGUUCAAAUUUUACUUUUUUUAUUGAAGUCUCACCUACAGGUGAUGUUAAAAUAUCUCAAAUAUUAAAAAAAAAAGGAAAACAAAAACCUCCCACUCCCCCUCACAUUCUCUCUCUCUCUCCCUCUCUCCUUCUCAUUUUCUAAAUAUCUCCAAUAUCACAUAAAAAAAUGAUGGGCAAUAAUGUAAUUUCAUGGGUUCAAAAUUUUAUUUUGAUUGAAGCCUCACCUACGUGAUGUUAAAAUAUCUUCAAUAUUAAAAAAAAAGGAAAAAAAAACCUCCCACUCCCCCCAUGUUCUCUCUCUCUCUCCCUCUCUCCUUCUCAUUUUCUAAAAAAAUAUGUUCAUACACACAAACUGUGUAGGCAAAUGCUAGUAUAUAUAUAAAUAAAGCGCGAAGCAUGCAAAAAAAAAAAUCAGUUUAUUUAUUGAGGCAUUUCGUCGAACACUUAAUCAGUGAUAUCAAGAGAGUUUGUCCGAUGUUGUCCACUCAACCCAUUGAGAUAUGUCUGACAUGUAUUACAUCAAACACUUAAUAAAUACAAUGAGACCCGUAGAAACAUUCGAAAAGUCCUUUAAAAAUCUUCACAUGUAUAUUUUCAAACUUUAGUGGUUCUGGGACCAUCUAGAUCCCAGUGUGCAUCCGGUUCUAACUACAAGUGGUUUAGAACGAAUUCUUUAGGAUUGUUAUCCAUAUAUGAGAGAAAAAAAUAAGACCAAAAAAAUAGGGAAAAAUGGUAAUGUGAUACUUUUAAAGUGUCAACUUUGAGGCAGUUUCCAAAUUUUGUUUGCUCUGAUUUCUUUGAGCAGAUGGCAUACAUGCAUGCAGUAAUAUCAUCCCGUGACAGUUUGCUUUUUUGUGAAAUGGUUUUGGAAUGGUUUUUUCUGCAUGUUAUUUCGAAUGUAUUUAUAUCUGAAAAAAAAAACACCAAAUUUGUGGCAAGAAAUGAUUGGAACAUGCAAAGUUUCUGUGUAUCACUCUAGCAAAAAUGGUGAAACUUUUAAAAUCCUUAAAACUUUCAUCUGUAAGAAAACCAAAGACACAUAUAUAGAAAGUGAGGUAAAAUUAUAAAAACUAAACACUUAAAAGAGAAUGAAAGUAACCACGCUUUCCUUAAUAUUCUCCACAUUCCAACGUUCACAAACAUUUACGUUACAGUUACUCGAAGGAGACGAAACCGCCGAUGUCUUUUCUUCUCAAACGAUUCUCUGUUUCGAUGCAAUUAGCAACGAGUAUUGUGCUUUCCACUUUUUCUCUACUCUCUGCUUGCACUUACCAAACUAAAGGAAUCGUCACUUGCCCGAAGGAGGAUGGAUAGGCAAAGGGGCAAAUGGUUAGCAAGCAUGGAUUACCAUCCUUCAUCGAGUAAGUGCCGAUUAAUUUGGUAAGUGCAAGUAGCGGGUGGAGAAAAAGUAGAAAGCACAACACUUGUUGCUAUCUGCAUCGAAAGCGUAACUACAACAUUAGCUAGAAUGUGAAGAAAAUUAAAGGAAGCAUAGUUGUUUUCACUCUCUUUUAAUUGUUCUUGUUUUUACAAUUUUACUCGCUUUUUAUAUCUGGUUAUUUGCCUUUCUCACUUUAAUAUACAGAUAGAAGGGAAAUGCUAAAAAGACUCUUUCAAAAGUAAGACUUUUUAUGAACUCUUCGUCAUCUUAUGUUUUUUGCAUAAUAUCACGUCAACAUUGUAUCAUGACAUAAAGUGACGAAAAGUCUAAUGGAGAGUUUUACAUUAAGAGAGUCUCGUUAGCAUUUCUUAAACGUAUAAAAACAAAUGAGAUUAAAAGAUGAAUGCCAAACCUGCAGUCUUACCUGCAAAUGCUAAUGCUGGUGCCCACCACCAAAAAUCUAAAACAAAAGAAGAAAGAAAAUACAGUAAUUUAAUUAUAAUUCUGCAAUCAAGAAAUAAAAAAAUGAUCCAUGAUAUUUAAUAGUUUUGUUUAAGAAUAAUUAAAAAUUGAAGGGAAAAAAAAAGUCUGUCUCACUUAUUGUACCUGCCUAGUACGCCUAAUUGUACCUCCCAACGUUCUCUCAUCGUCACCUUUCCGUUUCUUAACAUUUUACUAUGACAGUCUCUCUCUCCUCCGCUCUUUCUUUUAUUCUUUCUCUCUCUGGCCUUUAUAUAUUCCCUUCCCCUCCUCACACCCCUCACACCCACUACUCCAAUUCUCUCUCUCUAAAAAACUCUUCAAUUCUCUCUCUUCAUCUCCUUACGCCGUCCGUACAUCACCAUGAAGCAGCUGAUCCGCCGGCUCUCCCGCGUCGCCGACUCAUCGCAGUACUGCCUCCUGCGCUCCCCGGCCGACGCCUCCGCCCCCCCGCGCAGAAACGAGUCCUUCCGUGUAAAGCUCCGGCGCCGGAGAUCCUCCGCUGGCGAGCAGGUGGCCCCCGAGGGCCACGUCCCGGUCUACGUCGGCGACGAGAUGGAGCGGUUCGUGGUCAGUGCCGAGCUCCUGAACCACCCGGUCUUCGUCGAGCUCCUCAACAAGUCGGCACAGGAGUACGGCUACGAGCAGAAGGGAGUCCUCCGGAUCCCAUGCCACGUGAUCGUCUUCGAGCGCGUGCUCGAGGCGCUCCGCCUCGGACAGGCCCCGUCGUGCGACCUGCACGACCUCCUCAACUCGAACUCCGUCGACCUGAGAUCCUUGUAGAUUUGGUAAUUCAGGGAAAUGUUUUUGGCCUUUUAUGUAAAUACAUCGAUUAAAACGAAGCGACGCAAAGCGAUACGUUUUUUAUUUUAUUUUUUGUGGGGUGGGGUGUUGUUGUAAAGGGAAGAAACACUGGUGAAAUGCUAGAAUUUACAGUCGUAGCAGAACGGAAAAUAUUUCUACUUUUUUGCCCAAAUUCUGUGUUCUGUUUCUUCUUGUUUCCCAAGAAAAUAUGGGAUGGAAAAUGGUAAGGAAAAGAAAUCAUGUAGCUCUACAGUUGCGAUUCCGCAUACCUGGGCUUAAAUUGGCCGUUUCUUCCUCUGCACUGAAGUUCGAAUCUUUCAUGUGUAUAAAUUUAGUGUAGAUUAUUGCUAGUAUUAAAAUUUGGAUUCGUGGAAAAUUGGAUGAAGAAAUUAUUCAUUUGUUUUGGGGUUAGUGAAUAGUGAGUUGUAUUUCCAGACAGUGUUUUGCAUUUUCUGGGAGUCCAAACGGAACCCGGACACGAAGUUGGGAACAAAUCACGGAACUGGGACUGUGUUAAUGUCGGGGGUUGUAACGUCCCAAACGGAUCUGGAAAAAGUUUUGAUGCCAUACGAUACGACCGAGUUGGAAAUGGUGUCUUUUCCGUAAUUUCGUGUUCUUUGGUGGCUGUUUGACUUGAGGGAUAACUUUGUCUGUCUGGAUUUCUGGUGAAGGGUGUUUUUGGUCAAUUCGCGUGGGUUUCGGUUGAUUAUGAAGUUAUGACGGUGGUAGAUGAAGGGCUGAAGCACAAGCACCUUAGAAGAAAGUAGAGUGUCAUCCUUUUAGUUUAAUUUCAAAAAUGGUAUUUAAAAUCACUACAAAAGUAAGGUAAUUAAUCAAGUUAUAUAUGCGGUUUUGGUCCAAUAAUUCAUUGUUACGUUUAAGUUUUUUUAUCUUUUCAUAUGACUCUAAGUUAUUAGAACAGAAUGUCAUGUGUCAAUGAAUAUAUUUACUGAUCGUUGAUGUAUUAUUAGGUAAGUUACAAUUAGGUAAGUCAGACAGAGGUGAUACUCUGGGUUUUAAAGAUGUCAAUCAAAUUAGAGCUAGGGUCGGGUCGAGUUGAGGUAAUAUUGACUGUUGAUACAUUGUGGAUUUAAAAGGCUUCAGUUAAGUUAGUAGUAGGUUAGAUAGAGAUGAUAUUGAUCGUUGGUACCUUGUGAGUUUUAAAGGUGUCAAUCAUGUCAGUGAAAUCCAACAAGAAUGAUCUGAUUGUUGAUGUACACAUAAUUCAUAAUGCAUCAACAGACAAAAUUAACCCACGCAUCGUAAAAACUGACUAAAACAUCCUUCUACCAAGAAUGUGGGUGUAGUUACAACUUACAACCUUGCUUAAUACAUCAGUAAUAUUUUAGAGGGAACAAAAAAGAAAAACAGCAAAUUAUAUAUACCAACUAUGGCCGAACAUGCACAUAAUCCGGCAGUUAAUCUUACCUAAACUCAAUGAUUAAAAGAAACUGUCAAAACAAAUCUCAUUCAAGGCGCCAACGAUUUAGAGUCCAAAUUAUACAAGUCUAGGUACACAAAUCAAGGCAUACAUUGCAUGUCCACCUAAAGCAAUGACACCAUGAUUAAUUCCUUAAUACAUUUGCCACCUAAUAUGAAUAAGUAUUGAGUAUUGUUAUGAAGAUUAAAUUUGUAGACAAAAUUUUAAAAACUAAAUGAUAUGAAAGUUGACGAUUGAUUUAUUACUUAAGCGUUGAUAAAUGUACUUAUCUAUUGGUGACACAUCAUUAGUUUGUAAAUUUUAUCUACAAAUUUAGUCUUCAUGACAUUACAUUAAGUCUGCAUAGCAAUACUGCACAGUUCAGGAACUCACUGCUAAAAUUUCUAAAUGGUAAUUACGUACUAAUUAGACACUUAAUUAGUAACAUUAUUGAUUAGGUAGCUAGAGGGAUAGAGAGCUUAUAACUUGGUCUCAUAUUAGUUGAAAUGUAGAUUGAUUACCAUGCAAUCGAUACACAUCACUGAAACUUGUCAAAGAUGCUUUGGUGGCAUGCCUCUAACUUGUCAAAGAUUUCUAGGUAGGUGGGUUUUUGAUCGAUGUUUUCAAGCAAAUGUACCAAUAUUAUUACUUCAAAAUUUAUCUUGAGUAGGUGAUAUGCUUGUGUCACUUAUAUUUAUACGCUAGUAUAUAUCGUGGAUUUGAUUGAUUUAAUUUAAUUUUAACAUUUUGAUAAGAAACAAGUGUUAAUUAUUUGUUUUUUCCGUGUAAAAAACAAAAACCCUAAUUGGAGCACAAACAAGAACGGCAAAAUACAAAGUCUACCUAGCUACGUCUCUUUAAUACUAAGCUCUAAACAUUGACCAUAACAUUGAUCAUAACUAUAACACUAACAUCUUUAGGAACGACGGGGUAACGAGUUAGAUUUGUAAUAGGAUAAGGAUUCGAACCCGUUCAAUGUAAGUUUUGUUCGGCGUCGGUUUUCUGACUUUUGUAUAGUGUUUACGGUAUAUCAUUAAUGAGUUCUACGUCAAAUCUUGUUAGUUAGAGCUCGUGCAUUGCAUAAUGCAAAGACGAAAAACUUUCGUCCUUUUAGUAUGCAUGUUCUCCUAACUCUUGCUCCCAAAAGAUGGAAAAAUACAUAUAUGGAACAUAAGAUUUUAAAAAAUCUGCUUUAUAUGGAGCUAAAAAAUAGCUAAAAUCUAAUGGCAAGGAUUACACCAAAUGCUAGGGGCAUUACUGAAAUGAGGUAGUUUGUGUCCUAACCUCAAAUCUAAAUGCAUUCUGCCGGGCCAAAUUAAACAUAGUGCCUUGUUUGAAAGUGCUUCUAAAAUGGUUGAAAACGUUUUUGGUUAAAACAUUUUCGAAACCAAUCAUUGGUAAAAAUGCAAGUGAAUCCUUAAAAUAAUUAAAGUGCUUCAUGCCACCAGUUAUGUGCUUCUUGUAGGAAACACUUAAUUAAAUGAUUUUAGAACUUUAAAAUAUUUUCGCUAAAAACGGUUUCAAUCGUUUUAAAUGCAGCCCUUAACUUAUAUGUGUUUGGUAUUCCUAAUUAAUUAAUACAUAAAAAUCAAGGAUUGGUGCAGUCAAUCUGUCUUUAUAAUCCAUGAUAUAUUUUUGAAAGUGCAAUUAACAAACAUGACCUUACUUUAUAUAACAGAUUUGUAUAUAUCAAUUUCACGGCCAAAAAAUAAAAAUAAAAAUAAAAAGAGAGGAUUAUUUUUUGGGGAGGCCCAUUUGCCCAUGAAUAUGAUAUAUACAAAUCUGAUAUUCCGAUGACUAUGUAAUUUGUAAUGAUAUAUGAGUAGGUUAAGGUGGUCUCAAACAAGAAAUCAUGGAAAAUGGUGGCAGAAUAUAUUGGGUUGAAGACCCCACAAAAAAAUUAUUUCAAUUUUGAACAUUACUUUAUAAAAAUAAAAAUAAAAACGAUAAUACGGAGAUCAAAUUUUUAAACCAAAAUUUGUAAAAAAAAUGAUGUGGUUGUUGAUAAUUAGAUUAACGUGCUUAUUGCUUAUUGGUGACACAUCAUUUGGUUUGCAAAUUUAGCUUCAUAAUUUAGUCUCUCUAACAUUAUCUAAAUAAAAAUAAUGUGGAGUGUGAAGAAGAAGAAGAAGAAGAAUUAAGAAAUUUUGAAUUGAUUAUGUAGUCAAUCAAGUGAAAUGUGGAUUAAUUGUGGACCCGAAUAGGAUCCGGCUUGAAACAAAACAAGCAGAAAUGGACAAGUAAUUGAAAAGGAUAAGGUACCAAAUGUAUAUGGUGACAAAUGCAAAACUGAUCAUGAAGUGAAGGACGGGGCCCUGCAUGCUUGGCUACCUCAAGUGCAACGGAGGCGUCACAAAGACGUAUUUUUUACACCAUUCACUUGAUUGAUUAUUGUUAAUUAGCUUUCUUAAUUCGGAAUUAAUUUUAACCUUAUCCGAAAUUAAGCUCAACCAUACGAGUGACAUGAUCAUAAGUUUUAUUGGCCGAAAUGUGUGACCAACCAACUUUUCAAUACUUGACCAGAUCAUAUAUAUAUCCUUAAAAGAGUGCUUGAUGGAUGUUCUCUAUAUAUAUGUUGUUCAAAAUAAUAUGAUCAAGAGGUGCAGUAUCUAAGUGUGAAAUCUGUAAAGAGUAUUUACCCAAUUUUUCACACACGUUUUGCAGGCCUACUCCGUAACGUGUUUAACGAUUCGAGCUGUCUAUUUUGUAGAACAUUAUUCAUAGAUAAUCCUUACAAAAAAUUAGACAAAUACAAAACCACCAUUAAAACAUUCAUUUGUAGUGAAGAAAAUGGACGAAUAUAGUUCUACAAAGUAACCUUAAAUCCUUAAUCCCACACGGUCAUAUGGUUUAAGAUUUAGGUAUUUUGACAGACAUGAUCCUUGAGGAAAUACCUAAAAGAUAGAUGUUUGGAUCGUUGGAAUACAUUACGAAGUGGACCUCACAAAAAUGUGUCUAUAUACAUAUAAAAGUGAAAAGAAUAAUAUCAUUGAGGAUUUUCUGCUUAUCUGUAUUUCUACAAAUCUUUAUCAUUUUAGGAUCCAAGAUUGCUAUACUGAAGUAGAAUAUUAGAGAAUAAGCUCGGAUGAUUCUAUAUUAUUUACUUGAUACUAGCUAGUAUUCUGUUUUGGAAGAGAGAUUCAUAUCUUUACCAACUAGGCUGUGCUAAUUUGAUCUCUGAACCUUACCCCGAUUAGUAUAUUAACCGGAUAAUUAGGGAAAGUAAUUCCUGCCUUUGUGUAUAAGAAAGGAGGCCACAUAUGUAGAGAAAUACUAUCAUACUAGAUCAUGAACCAUAACGUGCAUUAAUCAUGUUGAUUCUUAUUAAAAAAUAAUAAUAAGAGAAUAUCACAAUCAAACAACAUAAGUUUAAUAAAAGAAUAAGAUGCUAACAAAUUUACUGACACGUUAAAAAAAAUUAAGAUUUUGACAUCAUCUCUAGCUAAGUUGGAAUUAUAGAGUACUUAAUCAGAGUGAAUUCGGAUUGCAGGCGCUCAUUAAGGCUUAUUGUAUGCUAGUCCAAAAGGAACAAAACCGUAGCCAUUUCCGAGGGAAUAAUUUAGCUGGAGCAUUGGAGGUGGUGGAUCGACGAGGGGUUUACAAUAUAUAUAUAUAAUUAAAGGCAUAACCCCAUUUUAUGCCAGGCUACGUACUUGACUUAUGUUGCCAGCCAGCUGCAUGAGUUUUACACACACACACACACAUAUAUAUAAACACAGGUUUGACGUGGGCUUCAUGAUUGGAUACAAAUUAAGAAAUUUAGUGACAGUUGAUGUGUGUGUGUAUAUAAAUAUAUAUCCUUCUUCAAUCUUCAGCACUUACCUUUAAAAAUAUAUGAACAUAUAUUUCAAUAUAUUUAAAAGAAUCAUGUUAGACCAAAGAUACUACGCGUGCCAGUUCGGAAGCACUUGUGAGUUUAAUGGAGCCAAUAUUCGAGAUUGGUAUUAUAUAUGCAUGAUAUUCCUAGAAUAAUGUUCGGAGUUGGACACCGAUCGUUAAACAAUUUGAAAUUAAUGUUGAAAGUAUGAAUAGAUGUAUGGCGGAGAUUGGUUUAUGAUUGAAUAUGGUGCAGAUUGGUCUAGGAAGAGUUUGUUAGAAUGUUAGGUUAGAACUAAAAAUUAAGGUUAGCUCUAUACAAGGAUUACAUGCUAUUUAAAACAAGAUCAAUAUGUAUGUGUGUCGUGUUAACCACAUACCAUUGCGUCAUUACACACACACACACACACACACACAAAAGGUUAAUGUUAUACAAUCAGGUAAAGCUUUUGAGGAUACCUGAAGACGACAUUGAGUUGGAUGAACGAGAGAACCCUAGUCUGCAAGUAAUCGUUCAAGGAAAGUCUUCUACUCACUUGAAGCCUUUAUGUUCUUAUGGUGAUAGAACCCUUUUCUUAGAACGUUUUUUCUAUGAGCGGGGAAUUCCUACAUUUAUUGUGGCAAUGGCAGCCAACUUCCAUCUAUCGUGGAAGUAUGGUUAUUGUCCUGUUGCACCAAAUCCCGGUUUAAAUGGAAUAAUGGAUUAGUGGUAAAAUACCUUAAGUGAUUAUUUCAAAACAUUUUGAAUGUGCUUCUACAAAAAUAGGAUGUUAACUUUUCCACGUAUUCAAACUCUAUAGAAUUAUAUUAUCAACAUGUACCCUCUCCUUUAUCACAACUUGUUAAGUCCAAAUAGGAUUCUUAAAUUCUCCCACAUGGACGCUAACUAGUUGUGGUUUAGAAGUUCCAUGUCUAAUAUGAAUUCAUUCUUUAGUGAUCACUUUGAGUUUUAAGCAACUAACGUCUUAUUCACAUUUACUAGUAAUCGUUUAAGGAUUGAACUUUAGGAAAUAAUACAUGUACUAAUAAUGUAUUCACCCUAAAAUCACAAUCCUCAAAUUCAUACUAUAUAAUGCAAGUGUAAUCAAACAUUUAUACACAUUAAUAACAUAAUUUAAUCUGUAUCUCAAUUCAUCUCUCCCACUGAACAAUCCAACUAACCAUUGUCGAGCCUUUGUUUGGUUGCAAUGUUCUCAUAACACUUGAUUAAACAAGCUUCUUUAUCACUCAAGUUCCUGAGCAUUACCUCAACUUGUAUCAGCUUGCUGCAAGCAUAUAUUUGUAUAUACAAACGACUGAAACAAUCAUCAAGGUUGAAUUCAUCAACAUGUCAACUAAAAACCAUGAAGAACAAAACACAUGAAUUCAUACUUAUUCAAAUAGGGAAAUUCACUCCCACAUAACAGCAGAAUUGAAUGAGUCAAUGACUCCCAUAUUCAUGACAUGAUCCUUGAACACUCCAACAACUAAGGGCUUUAUGAGAAGAUACUCCUGCCUUCACCUUUUCCUUUAUGGACAAAUAUUUCACAUCCAUCAUUCAUACAUGUUUAUGUUACACCUUUGGGUAAGAAACAUAAACAUCAUUUUGAAAAUAGAUUAUGUAACCUUAUUGUAUAAUAGUCAUGUAAAAGAUUAGGAAAACAACCAAGAUUUGAAGUCUUUGGACAAUAAAAUAAUCAACUUAAUUCUCUUAAAACUGUUAUACCCUAAAAAAAUCUCAAACCAUUCAUACAUUCUUCUAUUUGGAAAAGAAUAUUGACAUAUUACAAGUUUUAAAACCAUAAUUUACAUAAUCCAGUAGGUACACAAGCCUGCACUUCAAAAUCUCGCUCAGAAGUUUUUCCUGAAAAAGUAAAGGUUAGUGCAAAAAAUAUUUGUGAGAACCCGUAUUCCAUAAUUAUAUUAUAAGUUGUCCUAUAUAUGUGUGUGUGUCAACUAGAGUUGUAUGUUGA
rnacentral:lncRNA from 1 species